rnacentral:misc_RNA from 1 species
GAUGAAGAACGCAGCGAAAUGCGAUACGUAGUGUGAAUUGCAGAAUUCCGUGAACCAUCAAAUCUUUGAACGCAUAUUGCGCUCGAGGCUUCGGCCGAGAGCAUGUCUGCCUCAGCGUCGGUAUUACCCCUCGCUUCUCAACCCCUGGUUGAUGCCUGCCUGCCUUUGCAGUUGGCUAGAAGCGGAUCUGGCUUUCCCAAUUGCCUUUGGUAGUUGGGUCAGCUGAAGCACAGAGGCUUGAGCAAGGACCCUUAUUGGGCUUCAACUGGAUAGGUAGAACUGGUCUUAGGACCAACUACACGAAGUUGUUGCUUGUGGGCUUUGUCUGGAGGCCAGCAGGAAACCUUUAUACCUUCGACCUGAGCUCAGGCAAGAUUACCCGCUGAACUUAAGCAUAUCAAUAAGCGGAGGA